UACGGAGGGGGCUAGCGUUGUUCGGAAUUACUGGGCGUAAAGCGUGCGCAGGCGGUUGGGUACGACCGGUGUGAAAUCCCCGGGCUCAACCUGGGAACUGCAUUUGUGACUGCACAGCUGGAGUGCGGCAGAGGGGGAUGGAAUUCCGCGUGUAGCAGUGAAAUGCGUAGAUAUGCGGAGGAACACCGAUGGCGAAGGCAAUCCCCUGGGCCUGCACUGACGCUCAUGCACGAAAGCGUGGGGAGCAAACAGG
rnacentral:rRNA from 1 species